rnacentral:lncRNA from 12 species
CAUGAGUGCCAACUCAUGUGGCCACUGUUUCCUAGGUGAUGACUGGCCAAUCAAACAAAGGCUUUUUCAAAUUCAGUUUGAAUUUGAAAUCUAUUGGGUGUGGAGGCAGAAGAGAGCGCAACCAAAAAGUUGGCUAGAAAGGGGCAGACACCCUGAGAGCAGUCAGAGAGCCCUGUCCCCAUGGCGGUGGGAGCCAUGACAAAACAGGAACAAUGGAGUAGAGGAAAAGAAGUGUGGGGAGGAUUAGGCAGCAUGAGGAGAGAAAAGCAGAGGCAGAGUGUAGCUGAGUCACCAUACUGGCAGAGCAUUAGAGAAGGAGCAACAGAUGCCUACUGCUGAAGCAAUGUCAAGAAAAACAGGUGGCUGGAGGUAUACUGUGUCCUGAAAGAUAUUCCCAGCUCCGCCAGGCAGCUGCUGUAACUGCUUCCUGCUCUUCUCCACUUCCUCCAGUAUCCUCACAAUGAACCACAUUAACCCGAGUCACCAGAGCACGUCUGUCUUCCUGGCAACCUGAAAAAGCCUGAUCGACACCAUGUAAUAUUAGUCUCUCUAUUAUGGCCCAUAUCAGGUGACUUUAUGAUGAUAUGUUAUGUUUCUCCCCGACUACAGUCCUUGAGGUCAAGGACUAUGUUCAAUGCCUUCUUAAAACGUCCUCAGCAACCAGGACAGUACACGAACACAUAGUAGGUGCUCACCACUUGUUUGAAGAAUGAAUGGCUGGUGAAAAGUGUGAGCUGCACGUGGCCAAAAGAGCCCUCAGAACACAGAGAGCAGUCAGAGAGCAUUUCGCUAAGGAGAUAUAUUUGAGAAGCAUUUUCCCAGUGAACACUGAAAUCAGCAAAGGAGCCUCAUCAUGGUUUCUGUAAUUAAACUUUGAAAUAGAAUUUCCUGUUACUCAACCUUUGGUCUACUUUCAAACUUAGGCACAAAUUUAACUGAAGGAUAUCCUGAAUGUUCCAGCACCCCACCCCACUACCUGUUGAGAAAGGAUAUGAUGGUGGACACUUUACCCUGUAUCAUGAUCAAGCCAUCCUCAUGCUUGGAAGGGAAUGCUCGUCUAAUGGAACUCAUUCUUCUAACUCAUAGCCACAUGAAGCAGAAGACCCUAGAACACUCAUCUGAAGGAACAAGCAUCCCUGAGCUCCAAGUCUGGAGGCUCUGGUUUCCCACGGCCUUCUUAGUGCCAUCGGACCCUCCUUUCCCUCUCCUCUAUGCUGGGACUUGUGUCCAGAAGACACUUGAGAGUUCUAGGCAUGGCCACCCACACAGUGAGUGGUGGUCCCUAGCAGAAUUGGGAGAGGCUGAGGGAACCCACAAAGCCAAGCAGACCCUGCCCAUGGAGUACAAGGGGGGAGAGAGACUUGGGAAACACUUACCAGAAAAUCUCCCCUUCCCCAGCAUAGGUCUCAACACCUUACCUAUACUUCUGUGGAUUUGGGGGGCUCAUCUUUAUUUGGCAAUAGUACCUGACCGCACAAGGGGCUGUUUCCUCUUUACUUAUUUCACACAAGUGCAAUGUUCAUUUGCUUUACUAUAG